AUGAACGCUGGCUACAGGCUUAACACCUGCAAGUCGAGGGGAAACGACGGGGAAGCUUGCUUCCCCGGGCGUCGACCGGCGCACGGGUGAGUAACGCGUAUCCAACCUGCCUCUGACUGAGGGAUAACCCGUCGAAAGUCGGCCUAAUACCUCAUGGUAUCGUCUGCGGGCAUCCAACGACGAUUAAAGAUUUCAUCGGUCAGGGAUGGGGAUGCGUCUGAUUAGCUUGUUGGCGGGGUAACGGCCCACCAAGGCUACGAUCAGUAGGGGUUCUGAGAGGAAGGUCCCCCACAUUGGAACUGAGACACGGUCCAAACGCCUACGGGAGGCAGCAGUGAGGAAUAUUGGUCAAUGGGCGAGAGCCUGAACCAGCCAAGUAGCGUGCAGGAAGACGGCCCUAUGGGUUGUAAACUGCUUUUAUGCGGGGAUAAAGUGAGGGACGUGUCCCUCAUUGCAGGUACCGCAUGAAUAAGGACCGGCUAAUUCCGUG
rnacentral:rRNA from 1 species